AAGGAAUGUUAGUCGGGCUUCUAACCUGAUAUAGAUGUUAAGUCAUUAUUCCUUU
rnacentral:tRNA from 1 species